UCCUACGGGAGGCAGCAGUGGGGAAUUUUGGACAAUGGGCGAAAGCCUGAUCCAGCCAUUCCGCGUGAGUGAAGAAGGCCUUCGGGUUGUAAAGCUCUUUCGCAAGGGAAGAAAACUUACACAAUAACACUGUGUGAGGCUGACGGUACCUGAUA
rnacentral:rRNA from 1 species